UACAUAGGGUCCGAGCGUUGUCCGGAAUUACUGGGCGUAAAGAGCUCGUAGGUGGUUUGUCGCGUUGUCCGUGAAAACUCACAGCUCAACUGUGGGCGUGCGGGCGAUACGGGCAGACUGGAGUACUGCAGGGGAGACUGGAAUUCCUGGUGUAGCGGUGGAAUGCGCAGAUAUCAGGAGGAACACCGGUGGCGAAGGCGGGUCUCUGGGCAGUAACUGACGCUGAGGAGCGAAAGCCAGGGGAGCGAACGGG
rnacentral:rRNA from 1 species